GAUAACAGGCUAGUCUUGCCCAAGCGUCCACAGCGACGGCAAGGUUCGGCACCUCGAUGUCGGCUCAUCGCAUCCUGGGGGUGAACAAGCUCCCAAGGGUUUGGCUGUUCGCCAAUUAAAGCGGUACGUGAGCUGGGUUCAGAACGUCGUAAGACAGUUCGGUCUCCUAUCUACUGUGAGCGUUUUAAAUCCUGAGGGACCCCUUCUCUAGUACGAGAGGACCGAGAAGGACGAACCGCUGGUGUAUGAGUUGUCCUGCCAAGGGCAUCGCUCAGUAGCUAAGUUCGGGUUGGAUAAGCGCUGAAAGCAUAUAAGCGCGAAGCUGUUCCCAAGAUUAGGAUUUUAUAGCCACCUGGUAGACUACCAGGUUGAUAGGUGGUCGGGUGUAAGCCCCGUAAGGGGUUCAGCCUAGAUCAUACUAAUUGGC
rnacentral:rRNA from 1 species